rnacentral:lncRNA from 1 species
CAUAUCCAAUGGGCUUCAAAGAGACUGUGCGAGGCCUUAUUACGGAUUAGGGUUUCUCUUUCAAAUUCAUUUGAGCUUUGGAGGCUAAAGCCAGCAAGUUCAGGGUUUUGGAUAUAAUUUUCAUAAAGAGUUUGUGUAAUUUCGAGUUUUUAUGAAGAAGAUAUAGGUAUUCAAAGUUAAGGUAUCAAAUUUGUACCUACUGUCACUCUUUGAAGCAUAACACAUGUUUAUAGAAAGCAAUGAAAUAUCGGCAAUAAGAAUUAGAGAGAACACUUUCUUGGCUAUAUUUUACAUAUACUAUUUGAUAAAUUUCAAGCCUAAAUGAAGGAGUUAUAGGGCUUUGAAGAUAGCACGUGAAAUUCAAAGGCAGUAAGUGAGUCAUUUUGUUGAUAGUAAUGGUUAGAACAAUAUCUUAAGUUUCUGGAUGAAUUUUUGACUCAAAAUUUUUAUUAGUGUGAGUGUAGAAUAGGCAAAUAAACUUUGUGAUAAGUUAGUGGUUGGUUAUUA